UCCGACGAACCCCGCAAUAGCUCUUAGGCUCUACACCACCAUUUUCCACCGACUCCUCCGUGAGGUCGUUAUUGCCGCCAACAUUGCUUUCGGUAAAUAAACCAUAGAUCUAACAGAAACUGUGGUUCCCAAAGUUUCUACAAAUUCAAGAAAUUUUGAUCAGUUUUAUCGUUUAUUUAUUAUUUUUGGCGUCAAAGCUCAUUCCCACUUCUUUUAAGUUGUUGCAUUGUGGAAAUUCAGAUGUCAUUUUUGAGUUUGGGUUUCUGUCUGUGAAAAUUUCUUGGGGUUAAAGUGAUUGACAAUGUUUAAUAUCAAUUUUUAUUGGAUUUACCUUAUGUUUAAUAGUCCAAGGAUUAAUUAAUAAAUAUCUGUAUUUAUGAUCUUUGUAUUUUAACUUUUCAGGAUGUAUAUAAGAAAUUUGCUUAUGUUGAUGAUUUUGCAAUGAGUAAACAGAUGAUUAUUUCUGAGAAAUUAUUUAUUUAUUUGAUUACUAAGUUUGUGCUAAAUAAGGUUUAUUGAAACUUCAACAACCUGGAUAAGAUUUUUUUUUUUAAAUCAAUGAUUUUAGGAGUUCGAUUGAAGAUUGAAAGGGUAAAGUAGUAAGAGCUGAGCAUUUACAAAUUUUGAUGUUUGGUGAAACAGAACCUACAGUUCAAGAACCUUCUCUCAUCAUGGUCCCGCACGACCAUUAAUUGAAGCUCAAACACAACUGAAGCACAAGAAGGUAAAUUGAAACUAGACCCCCUAUUAUAACUCAUCAAUAUUAUUAGAUCAAAGCUUAUAGUAGCAAUUGCAGCUAUGCAUCUUAUGCUUAUUUUGAUUGCAUAAGAAUUAGAAACCAAGUGUGAAGAAUUUAUUGUUCAUUCGUCAGAAAUUAUAAUGUAUGUAGUUUAGAAACAAUAAGAUUAUAGCUUUGGCUUUUAUACUAUAAAUACAGUUUGUAAAUUGGCUAUUAAAAGAUUGGAGGCAUUGGAGGAUGCCAUUGAAAGCAUUGAAAUUAUCUUGACAACUUAUUUAGGGAAUUGGUAAAAAAUAAAAACCAGAGUGUCUCUUUUAAACAUUAUGACUCAAUAAAGCCUACUUACUCAUUCUUAUCUCGCUAAAUCCUACAAAAACAUUCAAAAUUUAAGAGAUAUGGAAUGAUCAGCUUUUUUUAAUCAUGUGAAUUUGUGGACGGUUUGAUAUAUAUAUAUAUAUAUAUAUAUAUAAGGCAAAUUCUGGGUGAGUCAUUGAGCAAUAUGAUUGUCAGGGACCUCAAAAACCUCGAGAGUAAAUUAGAGAAAGGAAUUAGCAAGAUUUGUUCCAAAAAGGUAUUUGAAUUCUAGUUAGGAUACAUGACUUUUGAGAUAAUUUAUUGCUAAAUAUCUAAAGAACUUAACAUUAAAAAAGAGGAAAAUUUCGUCUGUCUUACUGUCUACAUUUAAUUUAGGACAAUACUUAGAGCAAUACUUAUUAAGGUUACGUAGAAUUGAUAAGAUCUAAGGUAUGAAGUGGCAUAUGAAAUGAAAUGACACAUUAUAGCUUUAUGGAUGCAUGCUUAUUUUUUCUUCAAUUUUUACAUGCCAUUUUGUCUUGAAUUGUUCAUUGUUCUUCUGUGUUUUAAUUCUUUAUAAUACUGUAAUUCUUUGUGAUAACUUACUACCCUCCAAAAUUUUCUAGGAAUCUGUGAAGAAAAAGCAUCCACAGCUUCAUUAUGAAUCAAAUAUAUAUGCUUCUUCAAGAAGGGAGUAAGUAUAUAUACGUCUAUUUCUUUUCAGAAUUGUCUGUGCUAAAAGUCUUAGGUACUACCUAAUAGAAAAAUUUCACUUGAAAAAUGGUUUCUGCUUUCUCAAGUUUGAAAAUUUUAAAUGAUUGUUGUCCAGAAUCUUCUAGUCUUAAUGCAAUCAAAACUAUGAAUUUUGAAAUCAUGUAUUUAUAGUAAAAUCAAAUAAUUAAGACUCCAAGUUUCUCAUAAAACAAUCAUGAUGUUUUCUUUUGAGUAAUCCAAUUUGGUUCCUUAUUGAAGUUGGGAUUCUCCACCUAAAGUGGUUUGGAGUUGAAGGAGACUACAACAUUAUGGCUAUUGACCUUUUUGGACCAAGCUUGGAAGAUUUAUUCAAUUAUUACAACAGGAAGUUUACACUGAAGACAGUGUUAAUGCUUGCUGAUCAAUUAGUAAGUCUACAUGUCAACUAUUAUAAUCAAACAAGAAUCACAUGAUGUUGUGUAGUGUAGUGCAGUGCCUUUGAUUUUGACUGUUGUUGGAUUCUUUAUAAUUAUGAAAAUUCUUUUCUUUUCUUUUUUGUUGAAUUUCUUGUUACUUUUUUGGUGAUCAUCUUCUAUAAAUCCAUUUAUGGAAUUUUUCAUCAUGGGUUAGUUUGGCUUAUAGUUCUAUGACCUCAUGUAUGGACACAAAAUUUUCCAUUUUUCUAUUGAUUCAUAUUACUUUUCCGUAAUCUGCAGAACUGAUGAGGUAAUCAACACUCAAUUGAUGGUUUCUCGGUAAAUUCUCCAAAAAUGGGUCAAGCAUUUUUCUCCAUAUUUCAGCUGGAAACAAAGAGGUUGUUAUGGCUUAUUGGCAUUACAUUUGCAGUAUGUAAAUUAAAUUAUUAGUUUUAUUAUAGAAUUGUAAUUUUUUUAAUUAUAAUUAUAGCAUGUAAAGAAUUUAUGUAAAUCAAUAAAAAAAGUCAAUUAUUUUUAUACUUUCGUACUUUCUCCCUUCAAAAGCGUGGCUAUGUCUCCUAUUGGCACGCUUUCGAAGUGUAGCUAACACUAACUCAAUUGGCACAUUUCUAAAAAAGCGUGGUGAAAAGAUAUCGCUAUACUUUUUGCAUAUUUGGAGUGCUUUAAAAGCAUAGCAAAACCUAGUUUUUCUUGUAGUGCGAGAUACUUAUCGAUUUGUUACUAGUUUAAAAGGAAUUUGCGAUGACAUUUUGCGAUACUAUUACAACUAAUUGACUACAGAUUAUUUCCUAGCAAAUUAGCGAUUAUUUCAUAACUCUAUUUUCUCAUUUCGAAUAGCUUUGGUUUAACGACAAAAUUCCUACAAAUUUGAUUAAGGAUUUUUAAAGAUUAGCUAUAGAUUUGCUACAAAAUGUGACAGAUUUGCGAUCAUAUUAGCGGACAACUUGCGACGAGUUAGGUUCGGAAAAAUUCCUCUCGAAUUAGCGUCAACUAAUCAUUUUAUUUUGUCUAUGAAGUUAGCUUGCAUUUAGCGAUGAGUCUGCUGCAGUAGAUUUUGUCGCUAAUUAGCGACUACUGUUUAGUCUAUUUCUUCUAUGGAAUUAGCUUUUACUUUAGUGAUAGAUUUGCGACUAUCUAUUCGGUAGCAAAAAAACUUUCCGAUAAAUUAGCGACUGUUGUGUUUGCCUCACUGAUUUGCGACUUGUAAUCAGCGAGGAAAGCAUUAGUAGCUAAGCGGUAGCUAAUCCGUCACAAAUUAUAUUUUUCGUCGAAUUAGCGAUGAUUUUACGACUCUUUUUGUGGUAGCUAAUCGGCCAUAUUCUUGUAGUGUUCAUGCUUUAAAUACAAAAGGGCAGUUUGCUUCCAGGAAUUUAGCUGUUAAGAUUGAUAUGAAUAAAGCCUAUGACAGGGUUGAAUGGUCGUUCCUAGAAGCAACUCUGAAUGCUUUUGGGUUUAAUCCGCACUGGGUCAGGUUGAUUAUGAUGUGUGUCUCGCAGGUUUCUUAUAAAAUUAAGAUCAAUGGUGUUUUGUCGACGAGGUUUAUGCCGCAGAGGGGACUAAGGCAGGGAGACCCCCUUUCGCCAUACCUGUUUAUCAUAGCAGCUGAAGUUUUUACUAUUCUCAUGGACAAGGCCAAAGAAGAGGGUAGAAUCUCUGGUGUCAAAAUUGCUCCCACUGCUCCAGUCAUUUCUCAUCUCCUCUUUGCGGAUGAUUGCAUUAUCUUCUCGAAAGCUAGUGAGGAGGAAGUUUAUCAGCUCAUUACUAUUUUAAAUAUGUAUACAGAAGCCUCGGGGCAGCGAAUAAAUGUUGACAAGUCUGGUAUCACGUUUGGCAACCAGGUUCCGAUCAGAAAUAGAGUAGAAAUAGAAGAGAUCUUAGGGUUGCCGGCUUGGGAUCAACCAGGCAAGUACCUGGGUCUUCCAGCCCAGUGGGGCAGAUCUAAGAAUAAAGCUCUUAGAUCAGAACCUUUCUAUGGCGGGCCUCGCAUAACAUUUUGCCAGUGUUCCAAAAUCUUUAUAAUAAGAAAAUCUCUAACACUCCUACCUGUCCUAUUUGUUUGCAAGAACCAGAGUCCACUGAGCAUGCGCUUCUACUCUGCCCUUGGACAAGGGCUGCGUGGUUCGGAGCUCAAAUCCAGUGCUGUCCUACGGCCUAUACUGUAUCAUCUUUUGGGAAAUGGAUAAUGGAUCUUUUUAAAAGUAUGAAGAUUGGCACAGGAACUGAUUAUGAGCUGUGUAGCAGCAGAGUUGGUUUUUUGGUAUGGGAGGUUUGGAAAGCACGAAAUCAGGCAGUGCAUCACAGGUCUAAACCUAGUCCUUUACUAGUAAUUCAAAAUGCUAAACAAAUGGAAAUUGAUUUUGCAAAUGUUGUAGAAGAACCAGCUAUAAGUUCUAAUCAUGAUAGAAGGACAGAUAGAAGGGUCACCUGGAGACCGCCUCCGCCAGGAUGGAUUAAGUGUAAUGUGGAUGCAGCUUUUCGCGAAGUGUACUCUGGAGGAGCAACAGCGGCAGUAUUCAGAGAUCAUGCUGGAAGCCUUCUCACAGCUUCAAAUCAUAGAAUUGCAGCUUCCUCACCUCUAGCUGCGGAAGCAUUUGCGGUUAGGGAAGCAUUAAUAAUGGCUAAAAACUUUCAACUGGAUAGAAUUAUUUUUGAAUCUGACAGUUUGAUACUCAUACAAGCUUUAAAAUCAAAAGCAUCAAUUGCAGAAAUUCAAGUUAUUUUGGAUGACAUUUUGGAAUUAGUGCGAAGUAUCACAAAUUGUGGGUUUACCUGGGUGCCUAGAGAAGGGAAUGGCUUAGCACAUGAAGUAGCUAGGCUUACUGCUGACGGUUCUCUUCAACAGAAUUGGCUCAGGUGCAAGCCACAAAUCAUCAUCAACAUUUUGGCAAAAGAGCACUAUAUGUCUCUGCAACUGGCAAACAGAUCAUGAGUAUGAUGACCUUUUUGUUCUUUUUUGGCUGUGUAUAAAUUAAAUCAGGCAGGGAAUUAUUUAGAUUGCAGAUUGAAAGUUUGGAGGCAUUAUGGAUAUGCAUUUUGGUACCUUGGGUGCUGCAAAUGAUGUGCUGCUAGGUUCUUCAGUGAUGAAGUCCAUCCCCAUAGAUUGCCAGAGACCAGAACUUCUAAACAAGAGACUGAUAGAGGGCAAAGUUCUUCUCUGUGGAUACUCUUUCAACUUCA
rnacentral:lncRNA from 1 species